rnacentral:rRNA from 1 species
UUAACUGAAUCCAUAGGUUAAUGAGGCGAACCGGGGGAACUGAAACAUCUAAGUACCCCGAGGAAAAGAAAUCAACCGAGAUUCCCCCAGUAGCGGCGAGCGAACGGGGAGCAGCCCAGAGCCUGAAUCAGUGUGUGUGUUAGUGGAAGCGUCUGGAAAGGCGCGUGAUACAGGGUGACAGCCCCGUACACAAAAAUGCACAUGCUGUGAGCUCGAUGAGUAGGGCGGGACACGUGGUAUCCUGUCUGAAUAUGGGGGGACCAUCCUCCAAGGCUAAAUACUCCUGACUGACCGAUAGUGAACCAGUACCGUGAGGGAAAGGCGAAAAGAACCCCGGCGAGGGGAGUGAAAAAGAACCUGAAACCGUGUACGUACAAGCAGUGGGAGCACGCUUAGGCGUGUGACUGCGUACCUUUUGUAUAAUGGGUCAGCGACUUAUAUUCUGUAGCAAGGUUAACCGAAUAGGGGAGCCGAAGGGAAACCGAGUCUUAACUGGGCGUUAAGUUGCAGGGUAUAGACCCGAAACCCGGUGAUCUAGCCAUGGGCAGGUUGAAGGUUGGGUAACACUAACUGGAGGACCGAACCGACUAAUGUUGAAAAAUUAGCGGAUGACUUGUGGCUGGGGGUGAAAGGCCAAUCAAACCGGGAGAUAGCUGGUUCUCCCCGAAAGCUAUUUAGGUAGCGCCUCGUGAAUUCAUCUCCGGGGGUAGAGCACUGUUUCGGCAAGGGGGUCAUCCCGACUUACCAACCCGAUGCAAACUGCGAAUACCGGAGAAUGUUAUCACGGGAGACACACGGCGGGUGCUAACGUCCGUCGUGAAGAGGGAAACAACCCAGACCGCCAGCUAAGGUCCCAAAGUCAUGGUUAAGUGGGAAACGAUGUGGGAAGGCCCAGACAGCCAGGAUGUUGGCUUAGAAGCAGCCAUCAUUUAAAGAAAGCGUAAUAGCUCACUGGUCGAGUCGGCCUGCGCGGAAGAUGUAACGGGGCUAAACCAUGCACCGAAGCUGCGGCAGCGACGCUUAUGCGUUGUUGGGUAGGGGAGCGUUCUGUAAGCCUGUGAAGGUGUACUGUGAGGUAUGCUGGAGGUAUCAGAAGUGCGAAUGCUGACAUAAGUAACGAUAAAGCGGGUGAAAAGCCCGCUCGCCGGAAGACCAAGGGUUCCUGUCCAACGUUAAUCGGGGCAGGGUGAGUCGACCCCUAAGGCGAGGCCGAAAGGCGUAGUCGAUGGGAAACAGGUUAAUAUUCCUGUACUUGGUGUUACUGCGAAGGGGGGACGGAGAAGGCUAUGUUGGCCGGGCGACGGUUGUCCCGGUUUAAGCGUGUAGGCUGGUUUUCCAGGCAAAUCCGGAAAAUCAAGGCUGAGGCGUGAUGACGAGGCACUACGGUGCUGAAGCAACAAAUGCCCUGCUUCCAGGAAAAGCCUCUAAGCAUCAGGUAACAUCAAAUCGUACCCCAAACCGACACAGGUGGUCAGGUAGAGAAUACCAAGGCGCUUGAGAGAACUCGGGUGAAGGAACUAGGCAAAAUGGUGCCGUAACUUCGGGAGAAGGCACGCUGAUAUGUAGGUGAAGUCCCUCGCGGAUGGAGCUGAAAUCAGUCGAAGAUACCAGCUGGCUGCAACUGUUUAUUAAAAACACAGCACUGUGCAAACACGAAAGUGGACGUAUACGGUGUGACGCCUGCCCGGUGC